UUAAGGUUUUCUUGUAUUCUUCUGAAAAUAGAAAUGAAAACAAAAAAAAAUUGUCUCAUUUGUAGAAUUACUCCUGAAUUUCUUAGGAUUAGCUCUUUUUUUAUAUAUGUUCCGCAAGGUUCUUUCCUGCCACACUUUCUCGCAUCCUAAAUCCCAUCUACUUUAAUUUUCCUUCCUACUCUCUCCUAGGCUGCAUUGGAUCUCAAAGGAUCUAUUGACAUUCUAAAAAAUAGGAAUUAGGAAGCAUCAUAAAAGGGAAAUGCUGCUUCAUUUUCAGUAUGAGCUCUAUGGUGCUCUUUUCUUUGCUUGAUAAAUCACCAAUUAAAUUCUUCUAUUUUUGUUGCUUUGAAUAAUUUCUUCUUCCUCCUUUAAUCUCUCUCUCUAUAAUCUUUUUUCCUCUUGGGGAAUUCCAUGCUUAAGGAGAUACCAUAUACCAAAGUAGCUUUACUUUCUGGAGAAAGAAGCAUUAUGUUCUAUAAGAAAACUUUUAUUAUUGGUGGUUACCAGGGUUAUCAAGUACAUCAGUUGUAAGAAGCGUUAUAGCUGAAGAAAGAAUGAGAACCACGUGAGUCCAUGAUCCAUUAAGGUGCUUUAUGGUAUUUAUCUUCAUGUCUUUAAUUAGUGAGGAUCUUUUCUGCACAUGGAGGAAUUAGUUGGCUAUUUACAUCAUGGGGCCUUUAGACACUGUAGAUGCUCCUAAUUUAUGGAUAAUAAAUUAAUACUAAAGUGAGUGUAAUUUCUAAGCUAGUGAUAGGCCUUGAAAUAUCCCAUGGGGUAACUAGGGACUAGGGAGAUUUGGUUUGGAGGGCUCUGGAUGUGGCCUGUCUGUGAGUCUGUCUCUUAACCUCUUCUAGUGGAGCUGCUGCAGUAUAAGCCAUUAUCAAAUUCCUAAUUAAUUGUCAGUCUACUAAUGAUCAUCAAGUCACUGUACACUAAGUUUUUAGUCAAACCUUCUUCUUUUGGAGGGUGCUACAGUGUUUCAUCAUUUGAACUUUUUCAUAAAUUCUAAAAGAAAUGGAUGUUUCAUAUUUUGUAGAGUUUUUAUGAUAACAAAUCUAUUGUUCUUACUUCUGAACUUCACUCAAAGAUGAAACACCUUGUUUGCAGGACAUGCAUGCAAAAUUAACUGAAAAGUUCUCAUUAAUGUUUCAGGGGAUAAUAUUAUGUUGUUUAGUUGGAUUUAACUUUUGGGGCAAUUGUAUGCUCAGAUACUUGGAGAAAGGAUGUUAGACCUCAUGAAAUUGAAGAUGCCAUCAAUAGUUCAGCACCCGGAAAACUUAGGGUUAUAUCCGUUUCUGAGGUUUCACGCGUAUUCCAUCCUAAUUUUUCUGCCAAAUGGAGGCGCUAUUUGUAUAUUUUUCCACUUAAUGAUGGAGAAGAGAGGGAGGAUCUUGAAAAUUUUACUACUGAUGAAAAAUAUGAUAAACAAAGAUAUGGAUGUGGUGAAUUCACUAGUAGGGAGAAUGGGGAUAAAUCUAUUACUAGCGACAAAUGUGAGCUCGAAGGUGCGAAUAAGCCUACAACAUUCAAUAUAUGCAAAGUUAACAAGCUUUUACAACAGCUAGAAGGAAAAAAGUUGUCCUACAAAAUAUUUGCACGAGACACCAAAGCUUCAAGAAAUGAAGGUCCACCAACGGAAUGCUUCGUUUAUCAUGCUCGAGCCACAGAGGCCAGAUUACCAUGUUCAGAUCAUGCAGAAGGAAGAAAAGUUAUGUGUGUUGAGCUGGUGGCUAAUCGGUUCCUGCGCAAGGUUUUUACUUACAUACACUUGUCAAUGUAUCAGCAUGAAUGUAUUUGUCUAAUGAAAUUUCAAGUGCAGAAUUACCAUAUUUUUGUUUGGUAAUAAAUUUUGAACCUAUACGUGAGAAAAGUUAAUGUUAGAAUUUAGCAUGAACUGAUAAAUUGAUUUUGGAAAUGCUGCUCAAUUAAAUUGUCUAAAUAUCAGCUUUCAUUUUGUAUUAAAAUAGUUAAAAAUUGAUGGCAACUUCGUUGAAGUUUACCUUUAGGUUGGUUAAUUCCAAACAUCGUAGGACUGCAAUUAUCAACUGUUACUGAGAAUUUAUAUCGAUUCUGUUUCUUUUUUGAAUAAUUGUGUGAAAGAUGGUCCGAGUUCUUGUGGCAACAUCGAUAAGGGAAGCGGCUGCAGGUGCAGAAGAAAAUAUAUUGCUAAAGCUGAUGGAUGCUUCAUGCAGACGUGCAAGCGCUCCCCCAGCACCCCCUGAUGGACUUUGUCUUGUUGAUGUAGGAUACACUGAAUUUGAUCCGCAAAACUGCAUUGUCCCUUAAAGUAUGCUUAAUGCUAGAUUAAUCCAAACUAUAUUUUUUCUUCUUUAAGUUCAUUCUGUAGAAUGGAGGAGGUGAGGUUUCUCUUAGGAAUUUAAUAAUUUCCUACUCUAAAAUCUUUACACAGAAAUGAAAAAGUGAAGCUGCUGUAAGCAUCGUUGUGUGUGUGUGUGUGUUUUUUUU
rnacentral:misc_RNA from 1 species